CACGUAGGGGGCGAGCGUUGUCCGGAUUUAUUGGGCGUAAAGAGCUCGUAGGCGGCUCAGUAAGUCAGGUGUGAAAACUCCAGGCUCAACCUGGAGACGCCACCUGGUACUGCUGUGGCUAGAGUCCGGUAGGGGAGCAUGGAAUUCCUGGUGUAGCGGUGAAAUGCGCAGAUAUCAGGAGGAACACCAGUGGCGAAGGCGGUGCUCUGGGCCGGAACUGACGCUGAGGAGCGAAAGCGUGGGGAGCAAACAGG
rnacentral:rRNA from 1 species